CAGCACAGUUCAUUGUCAUUCUCUCUACUCAUGAGAGCAGUGAAAUUUCUGCUGUGCAAGAUUAACAGUAAAGGUUAAUUAGCAGCUUAACUGAAUACAGUUUUUAGCUGCCAGUCACCUUUAUACACUU